AAAAUGGAGCCGUGCACCUUAUGGCAAGUUUUAAAUGGUGUAGUUCUGCGGAGGGUGUUCGCCGACCAUGCGUUCUUGACAUACUGUCCUUUUGUAAACUGUUUUGUGCAACUUGUAAACAUGAAGCUACUGGUAUUAAUCCUGCAAUUGGGAUCCAGCUGAGGUCACCUUCUGCCCUGAGACAGUCUAGUCAGUGUCUGCAUUACAAAGCUUUGCAGUAACUGCUUUCUCAAGCACAGCUGUAAGGCAACAACAAUGCAGCUUUUGAUAUCAUUUAUAGGAAUGAUGAAACAACAUUAUAUAUAAUAUAUCUACAGCCCUUCUGCUUGUUUAUGGGAAAAAACAUCGCCUUGAGCUGUAAUGGCAACACAGAUUUGAAUCAGGAGGAAUUCAGUGGUAAUUGAUAUAGAAGUACCUUAUCUUACAGUAAAUAAUACAUGAUUGUAAAACUUUAUUGUCAUUCAUUAUUCAUUCGUUGGUAUGGCAAUAAGAUCUUAAGUUAAACAAUGGGUGUGUUGUCAUACUGCUUCCUGUAAUUCAACUGCAGAAUGGUCCAUUUCUCUCAAAACGUACAUAUUACCAAUUGACCAUAUAGCCUUUAAGUGCCCCGUAAUGCAUUUAGUGUAUCAAAUAUAUGUGUGUGGAGGUUGAAGAAGUCAAACAAGGCUAUUGUAUGGGUAAAAAUACAGUACGCUUAUCUGCCAAGCUUAAAACACAUUAGGACAGCUAGAAACCGUCUUCAUGGAUUUCCUAUAAAAAUUCAAGGCAAAAGUGUGGUCAGACUUUGCAAGUGAGAUGCAUUAAAUGCAAGGACCAGGAAAAGUCAAGGUCAAGCUUCUUUAUUAUACAGUUUUAACAAUACUUGUUGUAGCAUCAGAUGGUACUUAAUACAAAUUGGAGCAAGUGGCACGCACUUCUACAAUGCAAACAAAAACUUCUCUCCUGUUGUCUUCCAGGGAUGUACAGUCUAGAAUCACACCAUACACAUCCUUCUAGCUAACCAGGAGUUCCACAUUUAUGUAUUUAACCAAAUAUCUCAUAAGCAAAUGACUACAUUUAAAUUAGGGUUGUGCGAUUUGGGGAAAAUAUCUAAUUGCGAUUUUUUUGACAGACAUUGCGAUUGCGAUUUGAUUUGCGAUUUUAACUUUUCUAAUUCAAACUUCAGCUCAAUAUUGUUGUGUGGAGCACAGUAUGGGUAUAAUUACCCUGCUGAAAGAAAACAACAACAAAAACAUUACAGAAAUUCUAAUUGUUUCCAUUAAAACCAUUACAAAAUUCAUUUUUGUAGUGUGUUUUGGGCAUUAUUCAAAUCGGGCUUACUGUUGUUCAAUUGGUUCCCAGCUUCAAGAUUACAUCACACCAAUAGAAUCCAAAUACCAGUGUACACUAUUAUAGUUUCCAUUAAAACAAAUACAACUCCCAUUGUAACCCUUAAAUCCAUAACAUUUUCUAUUGUGUUAGUGAAUUAUUAAAAUAGUUCAUAGGUUACAUAGGCUGAUUUAUUAUUUUUUAAGUAUGUGGGAUUUUUUAAAACUAGUAGAAAAUGUGCUGAAUGUUUAAUUUCAUCCAAGUGAAAUUAGCAAAACAGUUAGAUAGAAUUUACAUUUGUUUGAAACGCGAAGCUAGGCGUGAGUUGACACAGGGUGCGCGCGUGCGUCAAGGUAACAGGCUGUAUGUGCACAUCAAGUUUAAACGGCUCGUCCACGAGACGUGCAACGCAGGGCAGAGACGUGCGAGUAUGAAACAGGCUAUGUGUGCGCAUCAAGUUUAAACGGCUCGUCCGCGAGACGCGCAACGCGGGGAAGAGUCGCGCGAGUAUGAAACAGGCUAUGUGUGCGCAUCAAGUUAAAUAUGGAAAGCCAAAGUAUUCAUUAACGCCUGGUAGGGCGUCUUAUUGCACACUGACGCGUCAAAAGCGUGCGAUUCGACAGCAAACGCGCGUCAUUGACGUGUGAUUUUUCGUGUAAACGCACGUUCUCGACGUGCGCUUUGAGUUAACCAAAAAACGCGCGACGGAAGCGUGCGCUUUUUGCAUCAAAACGCGCGUCCUUGACGUGUGAUUUGCUAUUGAAAACGCGCGUUCUCGACGUGCGCUUAGGAGCCACCGAAAACGCACGCUUUGAGCGCGCGUUUUAGCCGGCCAAAACGCGCGUUUUCGACGCCCGUUUUUUCUUGUGAUAAACGCACGUUAUCAACGUGUAAUCGGGUCAACCAAGCAUGCAAUGCCAACGUGUGGUUCAAGAGUCCAAACAGGCGAAAAUAACGUGCUCUCCUCAUGUCGAAAGCGUGUGCUCAUUUUUAGGGCUUGAGUGUGUCAUGUUUUGUCCGCUAGAUGGCGUUAUGACUCUUGUUGAAGCCAACCAAAACAACAUGGAAUUAUCGAGGACAACUGAUUGUAAUGAUGUGAGUUAUUGUAAUGAACGGACAACGGAUUAUGAUUGUUCAGUUAUUAUACUGUAAGUAUAAUUUAGCUCCACAAAAAAAGACAGAGCCUGCCUUGCGUAUGAAACAUCAUUUUUUUCUUUUAAAUGGCCGUGGGGGAAGACCGUGGAUAAAAUAGACUUAAUCAAGCCCAAAACUUUCUAAGGUAGUUGUGAGGUAGCCUACAUAUGUAUAUGCCACAUUUAUGUGACCUCCCCUGAUAUUCAGCCUUUUUGCUGUGGUGCUUUGGCUCCUCCCACUCAGGUUGCCAUAAUGAGACUGUAUGACAUAGGCUAUAAUGUUUCUUUCUGCAGGUGCGUUGUGCCUCAGAAAUAUUAUCCAUUGUUAUCAUUCCAUCUUAAUUUUAAAUUUUUAUCCACUGUAAGACCCAGUUCUUUUACUGAACUUCAAUAUUCUCCAGGAAACACACACAGGUUGAGCCUGUGCAACUACGUAAAAGGUCCGUGUUACAUUUUCUGCUAGGUUUCAUUAACACUACAGCGCAAAUAUGUAGCACCUGUAUGACCAACAUGGCUCGUAGAAUUUUGGUACAGUGUAAGACAACUUUUAAUGACUGUUGUCGUUUUUUGUUGUCAUCGUUAAACUCAGACCUCGAUAUUGUGGAAGCAACAAUUGUAAGAUUGGAAACGGUGUUGCUCAGUUUACGCGGGUUACAACUUGGAACUGCUGCUUCUGAGCAAGAACUAAUCGAUCUUCUAUCAGCGUUCAUUCAGAUCCUGCGAGACGAGGCCAAUAAUCAAGAAGGUGCAAGUGGGUAUCAAGUACCAUUGAUGUAUGUUGGUAGAGGGCCCCCAUCCUAUGAUGUAACCAGGCCACAGCUAGAACUUCUGGUGGGGUCUGGAUUUACUUCAAGGCAAAUAGCUGAAAUCCUUGAUGUGUCACGAUCCACUGUGAGACGGCGACUAAGGCACGUUUCAGCAAGUGUCUAACAAUAUGCAUGCCAUCAAUUUACUGUAUAUGUUCACGUGAGCAAUAGGGAUGUGCACGAAUAUUCGAUCCCCAAGAACUAUUUGAAUAUUAAAAAUUCUAUUUGAAUUUUAGUAUUUUUCAUAAUAAUAACAUUGAGUCAGCACAAGGUUAAGUUACCGCUACAGAAGACAUUAGUUGUCACGCCUUUUUCAACGCUUCUUCACUUCAUCUGUAAUGAUUUUAUAAUAUAUAGAAAAUAAAAAAUCAUUUGUAUGUGUUCAUAAACCUUUGUUAACUCAGAUCGCAAGCUAGUUUAAAUAUUUUAAGUUUACACACCGGAUGCCCGUUUAAUGCUCGACUCACAUCACCAUAUUAAAAUGUUUAAAAACUGGCGAGCCACAGAAUUCGUUAACAUGUCCUACAUUUGGUAUAAAAAUACCAACGUAAUAUUAAAUGAUUCAGAAUAAUUCAUUUAUUAUACUUCUUCGGAGCGGUUGUUCUUAGUAAAUUCAUUUUCGUUCGUUAAAAAUAAGUAAUGCACAUGUUAAUGAAUUUGGCCUUAACAUAACACUGGCUCCUUUUUCCAUACCUAAAAGCCUGAAUUUUCCUUCUAGAAGUUCAAAUAGGGUCGUCGCCUUAAUUCAAGUUACAGCAUGUAAAUAAAUUCGCACGGAUGCUUUCUUUGUUUGUUUUAAAACGAGCUGUGAUUCCUUACCUUAGUUGAAAUAAAUAGGCCUACCUUAUUUAUUGAUGCAAAGCUAAACAAGACAGACACUGACCGUGAACGACAGAGAAAACAAUAUUUAUAUGCAGUGCUGAUCAGCAGGAAAUAUCUUCCUCCGGUGACGGUCAAGUAGCUAAUAAACAUGGAAACAAGCACUUAUUGUUCUGUCUUUGUUGCGGGGUAUUUUUUAGGAUCUUAACAGUCGGCAUGAGGUAUCAAGCCCGUUUACUUUAUUUAUUAUCAACAUUAUAAACAAUAAAGCCAGAUAUUCUUGUCAGAUCUGGGUUUUGUUACCGGGAGUUAGAGAAGAGCAGCGCGUUUUCUCCGCUGUCGGCUUGUUAACCGUCGGCUUGUUGAACAGACUUUCACCAGAGUAAAAUAGACCUAUAUUUUGUUUUUCUUAUCAAGAACAUGUAAAACAAAAUAAACAAGAUAACCAUAUAUCACAGACUGUCGAUAUACGUUGCGUUUUGUUCGUUGUGUUUUGUCUGUUUUCUAUUUGUAUUAUACCGUUCCGCGCAGGUUUAAAUGCAGUUUUUAUGUAUUUUUCUAUUUUUUCUUUUUUUCAACAUUAAAAAACCUAUGCUACAGGAUAUAAUAUUAAUCCGUUAUAAAUAUUUAAUGAUAAUUAUAAGCUUGAUGUGAAAUUGUGACUAAAUAAAAACGUAACAAAUUACGUCAUUAUUAACUAGGGCUGUCACGAUUCUGAAAUUUGACUGACGAUUAAUUGUCUUAUAAAUCAUUGCGAUUAUGACGAUUAAUUGUCUGUUUUAGGGCUUUGACGAUUAUGACGAUUAAUUGUCUGUUUUUGAGCUUUGACAUUUAAUUCUCAUUCAUUUUUGAUUCAGCGAUUGAAACGACCAUAUUGUUCUGAAUACAAGACUGUCUUUUUCUUGGAAAUACAUCGGAAAACAUUGGGUCAUCAUAUAUUUAAGGUUUAGGCUUUUACCUGUCAAUAAUAC